GGAUUAGAUACCCUGGUAGUCCACGCCGUAAACGAUGUCAACUAGUCGUCGGGAGGGUUUGCCACUCGGUGACGCAGCUAACGCAUUAAGUUGACCGCCUGGGGAGUACGCCGGCAACGGUAAAACUCAAAGGAAUUGACGGGGGCCCGCACAAGCGGUGGAGCAUGUGGUUUAAUUCGAUGCAACGCGAAGAACCUUACCUGGCCUUGACAUCCUCGGAACUUACUAGAGAUAGUUUGGUGCCUUCGGGAACCGAGUGACAGGUGCUGCACGGCUGUCGUCAGCUCGUGUCG
rnacentral:rRNA from 1 species